AUUGAACGCUGGCGGCAGGCUUAACACAUGCAAGUCGAGCGGUAGCACAGGGGAGCUUGCUCCCUGGGUGACGAGCGGNCGGACGGGUGAGUAAUGUCUGGGAAACUGCCUGAUGGAGGGGGAUAACUACUGGAAACGGUAGCUAAUACCGCAUAACGUCGCAAGACCAAAGAGGGGGACCUUCGGGCCUCUUGCCAUCAGAUGUGCCCAGAUGGGAUUAGCUAGUAGGUGGGGUAAUGGCUCACCUAGGCGACGAUCCCUAGCUGGUCUGAGAGGAUGACCAGCCACACUGGAACUGAGACACGGUCCAGACUCCUACGGGAGGCAGCAGUGGGGAAUAUUGCACAAUGGGCGCAAGCCUGAUGCAGCCAUGCCGCGUGUGUGAAGAAGGCCUUCGGGUUGUAAAGCACUUUCAGCGAGGAGGAAGGUGGUGAGCUUAAUACGNUCAUCAAUNGACGUWACUCGCAGAAGAAGCACCGGCUAACUCCGUGCCAGCAGCCGCGGUAAUACGGAGGGUGCAAGCGUUAAUCGGAAUUACUGGGCGUAAAGCGCACGCAGGCGGUUUGUUAAGUCAGAUGUGAAAUCCCCGGGCUCAACCUGGGAACUGCAUUUGAAACUGGCAAGCUAGAGUCUCGUAGAGGGGGGUAGAAUUCCAGGU
rnacentral:rRNA from 1 species